rnacentral:lncRNA from 1 species
AAAAAAAAAAAUCUAAUAAAUAGUUGGAACCUGAAAGAGAGCUGGCCAAUGAAACGCCGCGUUGGGGCAUUACCGCAUCGGGGAGGCCGCCCAUUGGCUGGCGUGCCCUGAGGCGAUGACUGCGUUUCCCCAGCACCGCCCCGCGCAGGUGCCCACGCCUCCCAGGCUUUGGGGGAGUACCCGGGAAGCGUCGGGGGGUCGCGUGCCCUUGGCCGCAGGCCUGGUCGCCCCCCAGCCCUGCCAUCUUCGGCUUGACCGUUGCUGCCCGCGCGCCUGUAGCGGAGCGAGCCUGCCUCCAGGGCAGCCUCACUGCCUGGAUCCUGGGCGGGAGACCUCCCAGCCAGGUGGGGGGAGUAGAGAAGGCCACUGUGAUGAAGGGCCUCCAGUGCCAGGACCAAUGGCAGACGUUAGGAACAGUGGACUGACCUGCUUUCCAAUGCUUGCUGAAGACUCAUCUGGCAGCAAGAGUGAGAAGUCAGAGGUCAGCAUUCUUCAACCUCAGUACAAGCUCUCAGGGACUCUGCUCUGGACCUCGGGAUGA